rnacentral:lncRNA from 1 species
CCUCCUUGAGCUUGAGACUUUCUUCAUCUCAGGCAGUAAAUUAAUUCUUUUUACACAUGUAUCUUCUAAGAAUUUCUUGUACCACAGAAGAUUCUUUCUUCUUGUAUCACUUCGAGGACUUGUGUGCAGAAUGUUUUCUUAUGGAGUUUUUUGAGAUCCAGUUGCUAUAUAUAUAUAUAUAUACAUAUACUUAUGCUCUCUUUCUUGAUCUUGCUUUGUUUUCUCAUGUGUUAACUAAUGCCUUGUGUCUUGGUUUAUUUCUUUAAAGGGAUUUUGAACCAUAGAGUCCGAAGAAAUAUCUGUUUGUGAGUUACCGUGUUUACUGCGGAUUCGACCUCCAUAAAAAGCUUCAGAGUUUGGAAAGUUGUUCGCAUGUAAAAGGAUGCUAAGGCUAAGUUAUUGGUUUUAAGGUGAGGACUGGAAGCCCAAUCGAUUUGAUAUUUUAUUGGGCUUGUGG